AACGUCCUUAUUGAGGGUAGCAAUGACGCGGUCAAUGAGCGUAUGGCGAGGUCCGUCGUGCUAACACCUUUACUUACAACAUUUACACCCCUCACUAACACUGGGUGGGUAAUUUUUGGCAAC
rnacentral:ncRNA from 1 species